GACGAACGCUGGCGGCGUGCUUAACACAUGCAAGUCGAACGAUGAACCCGGAGCUUGCUCUGGGGGAUUAGUGGCGAACGGGUGAGUAACACGUGAGUAACCUGCCCUGGACUCUGGGAUAAGCGUUGGAAACGACGUCUAAUACCGGAUAGGACCUUGGAUCGCAUGAUCUGGGGUGGAAAGUUUUUUCGGUCUGGGAUGGACUCGCGGCCUAUCAGCUUGUUGGUGAGGUAAUGGCUCACCAAGGCGUCGACGGGUAGCCGGCCUGAGAGGGUGACCGGCCACACUGGGACUGAGACACGGCCCAGACUCCUACGGGAGGCAGCAGUGGGGAAUAUUGCACAAUGGGCGAAAGCCUGAUGCAGCAACGCCGCGUGCGGGAUGACGGCCUUCGGGUUGUAAACCGCUUUUAGUAGGGAAGAAGGGCUUCGGCUUGACGGUACCUGCAGAAAAAGGACCGGCGAACUACGU
rnacentral:rRNA from 1 species